GCCCGUACUUGUGCUCAGGGGUAGAGCGCAUCACUAGUAUCUUGUGGAUAUGAUGAGGUCAGUCGUUCAAAUCGGCUAGCGGGAA